UACGUAGGGUGCAAGCGUUGUCCGGAAUUAUUGGGCGUAAAGAGCUCGUAGGCGGCUUGUCACGUCGGGUGUGAAAACCCGGGGCUCAACCCCGGGCCUGCAGUCGAUACGGGCAAACUAGAGUGUGGUAGGGGAGACUGGAAUACCUGGUGUAGCGGUGAAAUGCGCAGAUAUCAGGAGGGACACCGGUGGCGAAGGCGGGUCUCUGGGCCAUAACUGACACUGAGGAGCGAAAGCGUGGGGAG
rnacentral:rRNA from 1 species